GCCCUCGGUGGCUCAGAUGGAUAGAGCGUCUGCCAAGUAAGCAGGAGAUCCCGGAUUCGAGUCCCGGUCGGGGCA
rnacentral:tRNA from 1 species